rnacentral:rRNA from 1 species
GAUGAACGCUAGCGGCAGGCUUAAUACAUGCAAGGCGAAGGGGCAGCAAUGUCACUGUCGUACGGGUGCGUAACGCGUAUGCAACCUACCUAUCACUGGGGGAUAGCCUGGGGAAACCCGGAUUAAUACCGCAUAAAACAGGGGCACCGCAUGGUGAUAUUUGUUAAAGAUUUAUUGGUGAUAGAUGGGCAUGCGUUCGA